AUUGAACGCUGGCGGCAGGCCUAACACAUGCAAGUCGAACGAGUGGCGGACGGGUGAGUAAUGUCUGGGAAACUGCCUGCUGGAGGGGGAUAACUACUGGAAACGGUAGCUAAUACCGCAUACCAUCAGAGGUGCCCAGAUGGGAUUAGCUUGUGGGUGGGGUAACGGCUCACCAAGGCGACGAUCCCUAGCUGGUCUGAGAGGACGACCCGCCACACUGGUACUGAGACACGGUCCCGACUCCUACGGGAGGCAGCAGUGGGGAAUUUUGGACAAUGGGCGCAAGCCUGAUACAGCCAUGCCGCGUGUAUGAAGAAGGCCUUCGGGUUGUAAAGUACUUUCAGCGGGGAGGCGGUACCCGCAGAAUAAGCACCGGCUAACUCCGUGCCAGCAGCCGCGGUAAUUC
rnacentral:rRNA from 1 species